GAUGAACGCUGGCGGCGUGCCUAAUACAUGCCAGUCGAACGCAUGGAGGAAAAGGUUGCCUCCUUGAAAUUAGCGGGGGACGGGGGGGGAACAAGUGGAAAACCCUGCUAUAAGACUGGGAAUACCAUGGGAAACCAGAUCCUAAACCGGAAAAUAUCUUGAUCUGCAAGGUUACAAAGUGAAAGACCGUCUUGCUGUCACUUAUAGAUGGAUCCGCGGUGCAUUAGUUAGUUGGUAAGGUAACGGCCUACCAAGACAAUGAUGCAUAGCCGACUUGAGAGAGUGAUCGGCCACAUUGGGACUGAGACACGGUCCAGACUCCUACGGGAGGCAGCAGUAGGGAAUCUUCCGCAAUGGGCGAAAGCCUGACGGAGCAACGCCGCGUGUGUGAUGAAGGCUUUCGGAUCGUAAAGCACUGUUGUAUGGGAAGAACAGAUGUGAAAGGAAAUGAUCACAGCUUGACGGUACCUAACCAGAAAGCCACGGCUAAAUACGUG
rnacentral:rRNA from 1 species